CACGUAGGGCGCAAGCGUUGUCCGGAAUUAUUGGGCGUAAAGAGCGUGUAGGCGGCCAGGUAGGUCUGCUGUGAAAACUCGAGGCUCAACCUCGAGACGUCGGCGGAAACCAUCUGGCUAGAGUCCGGAAGAGGAGAGUGGAAUUCCUGGUGUAGCGGUGAAAUGCGCAGAUAUCAGGAAGAACACCAGUGGCGAAGGCGGGUCUCUGGGCCGAUACUGACGCUGAGGUGCGAAAGCGUGGGGAGCAAACAGG
rnacentral:rRNA from 1 species